CAGGGUGAUAAAUCCGCUGUUUCGCUCACUUCCUGUCCGUCACACGGCCUUCUCCGUGGGCCUCACAGUGGUGUUCGUGGGACUGUGGACACAUCAAGGUAGAAAUAAUAAAGUCAUUCAGCCUCUUCCGCUGAAUCCUGAAACUGUGACGCUGGUUUGGUUUGAUGAGUCAUCUCUGCCGGGAGCCGAGGACCAAUCAGGAGUCCUGAUUCUGUCAGAAACUGACAAACCCGCCCCCCCGAGGUUUCUUCCUGUCAGAUGGGGGUUCUUCCUUUCCACUGUUGACUGUUUGUUGGGGUUUCUCUGUAUGACUGGAGGCUCUUUACCUUACAGCGUCUCACGGUGACUGUUGUGAUUUGACGAAUGUUGUAAUGAUUUUAAUGGUGAACAGACCUCAUCACACUUGAUUCAGCCAGACCUGAAACUGCGACAGAAAGCCACCAUCAAACCGUUCGUUCCAUACAGCCAGACCAGAGGAGUCGCCCCGUGGGGGUCCGGCAUGCUUCAGCUGGAGCUGUGCUCGGCACCGUGCAGCUCCAUGCGUUGGGUCCUCGUCUCCACAGGUGGGGAUGUACCACAGGUGGCAGAGAGCAGUGGUCUGUGGACACCACCUGGGAACCCUGCUGCUGCACCUGUGCAGGUGAGAUGAGUGCUCUCUGCUUGGACAGACUGAGUGUGGGUUGUGCUGUGACUGUGUGAGGUGGUGACUGCUGCAGAGCAACAGGAAGUUAAAGAGAUUCACCAGGAUGGCUGAGGGAGGGGUGGAGGGAGGAGAAGAGGUGUCAGAUAAUGAGGAGUGACCGUGUUUGAGUGUGAGCGCAGAGAGCCCGCCGAGGGCGACACACAGCAACGCCGUCACCUCCAUCCUCCACCACCAUGCCAGAGCUCACGGUCCCGGAUUUAUCCGUGUGAUGUGAGGAGCCUCGGUAUAAGCAAACUAAGUGACGGUUGUGGAUCCUGCAGGUCAGCAAACCCACCCUGAACCACCAUGACCAGUGUCAACUCUCCAGCCUGCGUGCUCGCCCGAAACCACUUCUACCGAAGUCUACCGCCGAGUCCAGAACCCACCAAGCCCGCACGCGGCUGUCAGGACAAGCAGAGACUGCCCACGCUUUGGGUUACCGUGGAAACAGCUCCAGGACUGCCGGGUCUCGUGGGAACCAAAGGAUUAUGGGUCAGCAUCAUCCUCAGCGCUUCUUCCUCCUCCUCCACCUCCAAACCAAGCAACCACAGAGCCAAGUAGAUGAAACAAGCGCACCUCACCCUGCAGGUCGUUCCUGUGAACGUCCACUCUUAAUAACAGGGCGGCGAUCCCCUGGGGACAAGCUCCUCCCCCGACUUCACCGUAGAAGGAAACGAACCACAUGUCGUGUCCAAAUUCAUGGGCUGCAUCCUCUUGAGGACCCGGCCUUCGCGGUCUACAUGGGCCGGGUCCUCAGAAGAUCGGGUAGGCCGGAAGUACGAGGUUGGGGAAAUUGGACGGUCCAGCCUUCUGAUUAGCGUCACCACUGCCUCGGUGGAGUUUAAUAAACUCGGCCGUCUGCUCCUUGCUAUCUAAAAUAUAACAGGACACUGGAGGAAACUCUCGACCGUCUCACACGUCUGUUUAAUCAGUUUUCUGUUUGACGUUUAUUCAGCUGUGUGAAAACCACCCGGGGGAUUAAUAAAGUUUUAUUUUAUCUAAACUAAUAACUUUGAUCUCAGCCAAACCGAUUUACUCACGAACAAACAAAACACUGAAAAAAGCCCAACAACAACAUUUUAGGUUGUCUAAGUGAAUUAUAUAUCCCGUUUAACCUGAGUAGUGAAACUCCGCGGUGAUCUGAAAAUGAUGUGCCGGAGUUGUGCCGUUCUCGGCCGCAUCGGUGACCCUCGAGCUCCCGGCUAGCUGUCGAGCUGGUGGGUAAAAGAUGUCUCUGAAAACGUCGAAGCACUUUUGCAAAUAUGCGAUAUCUUGAUAAACUGAGCAGAUAUUUGAAGUUUACACAGCUGAAAAUAUGUUCAAAGUUUAUUUUGUGACCCAGAAAGAUUAAUAAGAGUAAUUUUAAAACUUAGUGGCGGCUGCCAUCGUUGGAAACUGGAGUUUGGCUGGGCCGCGCUAUGAAUUCUGGGAUAUCGUGGGCCACGAAAGACACACCCGACCCCAAAUUCGUGGAAAAGGAGGACGCAUUUGUCGGCUGCAUUCAGAGGAGUCUACGAAUUUGGACAGCCUUCAUCGUGUCGCUGUGACGUAAUCGGUCCACAAAUGCGGCCUCAGGAGGACGCAGCCCAUGAAUUUGGACACGUCCACUGAGUGACCCUCCAGAACCAGGAGCAGGGCAUGGCUAAAAGAUGGGCGUGGUCUGAAAAAUGGUUCCUCAAACCAAAGAGUGAACUCGUUCCUGAUUGGUUUAUGGUUUUGUCGCUGUUUACAGGUCUCAGUGAAUAAAAUGUGAAAUUGGUGAAGUGAUGGUGAUGUUAGAGCAGGGCGCCCGGAUGAAGAGCCCCACACGGCCACAGAAGCUCGUCUCACUUCCUGUUUUAGUUCCUGUGAUAUUUGAGGCCACAUGUGCAAACUGUGACGAGGGCUUUAAUCUACACGUUCUGACUGCAUGUGUGACGAUUAUCACACUAAUUCCACACGCGUGAAUCUGCAGGUAAUUUAUAAAUCCAGUGACAGGUGUCUACAGGUAUGCACAGACAGGUAGACAUUUCCCCGUCGCAUCGGGUUGACGCUGAUAUUUCAUCAGGUAUUCGGCCUCCGGUGUGAGCUUUACGUCUCAAUCUGCUUCAACAAUGAAAUCAAAUAAAGUGCAACAGCUGAGCGAGCUUUCACCAGGUGUGCCGCACCUCUGUGUUGUGGAAAUGACAGUCUUCACUAGUGGGGAUAGUUACAAAGCUUUCUUCAUUAUGAAUUAGCAUACAUGUUUUUAUUGAACAUUUGAAGAACCAGCAAAAAAAACCCCAGAAACUCUUGUAGAGGACAAAGUCCGAGAUAGAAACGACACGGAGCAGGUGCAUCUAGUGCAGGUAAAACCCCACAGAGCUCAGCAGCCAGCGCAGCAAAUUCUGGAUCCUUGUCUUUUAGUGACUCACACUGAGGCUACGUCCACACGUACCCGGGUAUUUUUGAAAACGCAGAUUUUUCUAUGCGUUUGCACCUCCCGUCCACACGUAAACGGCGUUUUCGGUGACUGAAAACGGAGAUUUCUAAAAACUCCGGCCAGGGUGGAUAUUUAGAAACUCAGUUUUUGUAUUUACGUGUGGACGAGAAAACACAGCGUCAAAGAUGUGCGCCUUUUUUGAGGUCACACUGUGCGCCACGUUAUUGUUUAGGUGAAAUGAAUUUCUACAAUACUGUUAAUUCUACUCUCUGCAGUGUUUAAAUGCUUACAUAUACACACAGUUACUGUCCCUCCACACAUACGACUCGGUUCUGCUUCUAUGCCCCAGCUUUGUUUACUUUUUCCCACCGAGGCUUCUAGACUUCUGAUUGGCCAACAUUUCUACACGGUUAGGAAUCUAGCGCCACCUGCUGCUUUGGCAUGUUCCUAGCAGCGUUUUCCUUCUUUUCUGCGUUUACAUGUGGACGGGAUUAUUUUUUAAAACGAAAACGGAAAAUCUCAGCUUUCAAAAACACCUGUGUACGUGUGGACGUAGCCUGUGACCAGAGGUGGGACCAAGUCAUUGUUUUGCAAGUCUCAAGUAAGUCUCAAGUAAGUCUCAAGUCUUUAUCCUCAAGUCUCAAGUCAAGUCUCAAGUAAUGUCAGGCAAGUCAGAGUCGAGUCUCAAGUCUGAAACUUUGAAUUUCAAGUCCUUUCGAGUCUUUAAAAAAAAACAAAACGAAAAAAGCAUGUUGCAGUUAUGCUAAAUGUAAAUAUUAGACCAUGUAAUUUUAAAAGCUGUGUUUUUCUCAACACAUGACAAAAUAGUGAACUUAGAAAAUAUACACAAAUUGUGAAAUUGCACCUCUUUAAAAUGCAGCUCAAUUAAACCUAGCUCCAAGAAUAAUUUUCACCGACAGUUCUGAGAUAAGCUGCAUGUUAUUCUUGGAUGCGCUUGUAGGACCGGCUUUAAAAUCGCAUGACAAAAAUAUCAUACACAUUAAAAAAACUGCAUCACCAACGUAGCCUGGACAACAUUUGCUAGUUAGAUGAAGUCAGCUAUCUCAUCGUAGCAUAUUUAUAUGCAUAUUUAUAAUUAUACGGUUCUUGGAGUGAGUGCAUACACUCAUGAAGUUUAGUAACUUCAGGUCACUGCAACAAGCCCAGGUACAGUUUACCGACGGAUGGGUGCAGGACCUUGAAAUGCACCGUGUCGAACGAAAGACCAUCGUACGUAUCAUAAGUUUACCAGUCUCACAAAUCGUCAUCAUAAAUACACAUUCAUUAACCGUUUAUUAAUAGGACCUUUGAGAUCAACGGUAAUUAAUUAGUAGUGGAAAUAAUUUCUGGUACCUGAAGGAAACGGUUUCCAGGGCCUAAUCCGUGGAUCGACUUCCUUCGAGGCGUGGACGUCUAUCAGCAGAGAAUGUCCCUUAGUCUGUAACACAGUCAAAUAUAUUCUCAAGUAAUAUUCAAGCAUGCCAUUCAGUGUGUUAGUACGAGCUCGGGAGCAGCUUGGGAGAACAAGAAAACAGAGACUGCUUUAGAUUGUCUUCCCAAAGUGACUCAACUUUAUUCACAAGUACAACAGUUUAUAUAGAGGGUAAAAUUCAUGAGACAGCAGAUUUAUCAGUUUAAACCAGUACAGACCAAGAUAAGGCAGUGUCUUCCUGCCCUUGGGUGAAGAAGCAUCCUUUGUGUAGUGUAUCAGUUCAGCUACAAUUGUGAUUAUCUCAGCGACAUAUUUUCAAGGCACAAAACGAAGAGUUCUUUCAUUAGUGAAAUCUGAAACAAACCAUUUGGCCUUCAACAGGCGUCUAAAAGAUUAAGAAACUAAUGUAGCUGAGGGAGUGAUCUCUGUGGUAUUUCAACCUUGUACCAGCCUGUGAUUCUCACACAUCAAUUCUUGGGUCAAAGAGAAAAAUAACUAAAACAAAGGGGCCUUAUUGAAUGACAGAGUUUUCCUGUAUAAUGUCACUAUAAAACAAUAUCCAGUAAAUGCUCCCAUGGUACUAAAAUACCUAACAGUACCCAUCACAGAAAUGUAGCAGUGACAAUAAUAUUGUAUGCUGUAAUCGUACUGGGCAAUUAGUGAUACAAAAAACCUGUUUUAUCCUGUGAAUAAAAGUAUAUGUGUUUGUCAAUGUACCAUAAUAACAGAAGCGAAACGCAAUAUUGUGUCAGGACAAUUCACUAUUUAUGCACAAUAAAUAAAGGAGCAUAGCGCGACAAUUUCUGUUCAGCGCCAGACUUGCUUGUAACCUA
ensembl:lncRNA